GUCGAGCGAACAGAUAAGGAGCUUGCUCCUUUGACGUUAGCGGCGGACGGGUGAGUAACACGUGGGUAACCUACCUAUAAGACUGGGAUAACUUCGGGAAACCGGAGCUAAUACCGGAUAACAUUUGGAACCGCAUGGUUCUAAAGUGAAAGAUGGUUUUGCUAUCACUUAUAGAUGGACCCGCGCCGUAUUAGCUAGUUGGUAAGGUAACGGCUUACCAAGGCGACGAUACGUAGCCGACCUGAGAGGGUGAUCGGCCACACUGGAACUGAGACACGGUCCAGACUCCUACGGGAGGCAGCAGUAGGGAAUCUUCCGCAAUGGGCGAAAGCCUGACGGAGCAACGCCGCGUGAGUGAUGAAGGGUUUCGGCUCGUAAAACUCUGUUAUUAGGGAAGAACAAAUGUGUAAGUAACUGUGCACGUCUUGACGGUACCUAAUCAGAAAGCCACGGCUAACUACGUGCCAGCAGCCGCGGUAAUACGUAGGUGGCAAGCGUUAUCCGGAAUUAUUGGGCGUAAAGCGCGCGUAGGCGGUUUCUUAAGUCUGAUGUGAAAGCCCACGGCUCAACCGUGGAGGGUCAUUGGAAACUGGGAAACUUGAGUGCAGAAGAGGAAAGUGGAAUUCCAUGUGUAGCGGUGAAAUGCGCAGAGAUAUGGAGGAACACCAGUGGCGAAGGCGACUUUCUGGUCUGUAACUGACGCUGAUGUGCGAAAGCGUGGGGAUCAAACAGGAUUAGAUACCCUGGUAGUCCACGCCGUAAACGAUGAGUGCUAAGUGUUAGGGGGUUUCCGCCCCUUAGUGCUGCAGCUAACGCAUUAAGCACUCCGCCUGGGGAGUACGACCGCAAGGUUGAAACUCAAAGGAAUUGACGGGGACCCGCACAAGCGGUGGAGCAUGUGGUUUAAUUCGAAGCAACGCGAAGAACCUUACCAAAUCUUGACAUCCUUUGAAAACUCUAGAGAUAGAGCCUUCCCCUUCGGGGGACAAAGUGACAGGUGGUGCAUGGUUGUCGUCAGCUCGUGUCGUGAGAUGUUGGGUUAAGUCCCGCAACGAGCGCAACCCUUAAGCUUAGUUGCCAUCAUUAAGUUGGGCACUCUAGGUUGACUGCCGGUGACAAACCGGAGGAAGGUGGGGAUGACGUCAAAUCAUCAUGCCCCUUAUGAUUUGGGCUACACACGUGCUACAAUGGACAAUACAAAGGGCAGCUAAACCGCGAGGUCAUGCAAAUCCCAUAAAGUUGUUCUCAGUUCGGAUUGUAGUCUGCAACUCGACUACAUGAAGCUGGAAUCGCUAGUAAUCGUAGAUCAGCAUGCUACGGUGAAUACGUUCCCGGGUCUUGUACACACCGCCCGUCACACCACGAGAGUUUGUAACACCCGAAGCCGGUGGAGUAACCAUUU
rnacentral:rRNA from 1 species